rnacentral:rRNA from 1 species
UACGGAGGGUGCGAGCGUUGUCCGGAAUCAUUGGGCGUAAAGGGCGCGUAGGUGGCCCGGUCAGUCUGUGGUGAAAGCGCGGGGCUCAACCCCGCGUCGACCAUGGAUACUGCUGGGCUGGAGCACUGUAGAGGCAGGCGGAAUUCCGGGUGUAGCGGUGGAAUGCGUAGAGAUCCGGAAGAACACCGGUGGCGAAGGCGGCCUGCUGGGCAGUUGCUGACACUGAGGCGCGACAGCGUGGGGAGCAAACAGG